GCAAGGAUGACUUCGGACGCCAUGCUAGAGCUGCUUGCAGGCAGUGGAUGCAAUAUUCCCAAUUAUCACUGUGGAGAACAGAAUCACCUGCUGGCUGUUCUUGAAAGAGGCAAUACUGUCAUCUCAAGAGUGAUUUCAGCCUUGUCAGGCAUCUACAAAAUCCCACAGGUAAGUAGGGGAAGAGCAUGGAAGCACAGAGAAUUUCAACUGCGUAAAAUUCUACUUUCUUUCUGGAGAGGUCAAGUGGGGAUAUUUUUAAAAAUGGGAAAAUCCUGAGGUAUGGUCAAACAUCCCUUUUUCAAAACUGAGCCUUCACUAACUUGACACCUCCAGAUGUUUCCGACUAAAACUCCCAUCAGCCUCAGCCAGCAGAGAUUUAGAUAGAUAUCAGACAUUUCAUAUGUUUAAAUACCCGUUAUGAUGAAAGUAAAAUAAAUUGCUGAUCUUUUGCUUCCCUUGCUAGAUCAGUUAUGGCUUCACUGCCCAGGUUCUCGAAGGUAAAACCCUGUUCCCUUUUGUCUACCGGAUGACUCCCAAAGAGGAUA